rnacentral:rRNA from 1 species
AUUGAACGCUGGCGGCAUGCCUUACACAUGCCAGUCGAACGGCAGCACGGGUGCUUGCACCUGGUGGCGAGUGGCGAACGGGUGAGUAAUACAUCGGAACAUGUCCUGUAGUGGGGGAUAGCCCGGCGAAAGCCGGAUUAAUACCGCAUACGAUCUACGGAUGAAAGCGGGGGACCUUCGGGCCUCGCGCUAUAGGGUUGGCCGAUGGCUGAUUAGCUAGUUGGUGGGGUAAAGGCCUACCAAGGCGACGAUCAGUAGCUGGUCUGAGAGGACGACCAGCCACACUGGGACUGAGACACGGCCCAGACUCCUACGGGAGGCAGCAGUGGGGAAUUUUGGACAAUGGGCGAAAGCCUGAUCCAGCAAUGCCGCGUGUGUGAAGAAGGCCUUCGGGUUGUAAAGCACUUUUGUCCGGAAAGAAAUCCUUGGCCCUAAUACGGUCGGGGGAUGACGGUACCGGAAGAAUAAGCACCGGCUAACAACGUG